UACGUAGGGUGCAAGCGUUGUCCGGAAUUAUUGGGCGUAAAGGGCGCGUAGGCGGGCCGCCAAGUUCGAGGUGAAAUCCUCCGGCUCAACCGGAGAACUGCCUCGAAUACUGGAGGCCUCGAGGCGGGUAGGGGCGUGCGGAACUGUGGGUGGAGCGGUGAAAUGCGUUGAUAUCCACAGGAACUCCGGUGGCGAAGGCGGCACGCUGGACCCGAUCUGACGCUGAGGCGCGAAAGCCAGGGGAGCAAACGGG
rnacentral:rRNA from 1 species